AUUGAACGCUGGCGGCAGGCUUAACACAUGCAAGUCGAGCGGAGCGAGGGUGCUUGCACCUUAGCUUAGCGGCGGACGGGUGAGUAAUGCUUAGGAAUCUGCCUAUUAGUGGGGGACAACAUUCCGAAAGGAAUGCUAAUACCGCAUACGCCCUACGGGGGAAAGCAGGGGAUCUUCGGACCUCGCGCUAAUAGAUGAGCCUAAGUCGGAUUAGCUAGUUGGUGGGGUAAAGGCCUACCGAGGCGACGAUCUGUAGCGGGUCUGAGAGGAUGAUCCGCCACACUGGGACUGAGACACGGCCCAGACUCCUACGGGAGGCAGCAGUGGGGAAUAUUGGACAAUGGGCGGAAGCCUGAUCCAGCCAUGCCGCGUGUGUGAAGAAGGCCUUUUGGUUGUAAAGCACUUUAAGCGAGGAGGAGGCUACUUAGAUUAAUACUCUGGGAUAGUGGACGUUACUCGCAGAAUAAGCACCGGCUAACUCUGUGCCAGCCGCCGCAGUAA
rnacentral:rRNA from 1 species